rnacentral:rRNA from 1 species
UUCCAUCAUGGAGCUUGCUCCUGGGUGACGAGCGGCGGACGGGUGAGUAAUGUCUGGGAAACUGCCUGAUGGAGGGGGAUAACUACUGGAAACGGUAGCUAAUACCGUAUAACGUCGCAAGACCAAAGAGGGGGACCUUCGGGCCUCUUGCCAUCAGAUGUGCCCAGAUGGGAUUAGCUAGUAGGUGGGGUAAUGGCUCACCUAGGCGACGAUCCCUAGCUGGUCUGAGAGGAUGACCAGCCACACUGGAACUGAGACACGGUCCAGACUCCUACGGGAGGCAGCAGUGGGGAAUAUUGCACAAUGGGCGCAAGCCUGAUGCAGCCAUGCCGCGUGUGUGAAGAAGGCCUUCGGGUUGUAAAGCACUUUCAGCGAGGAGGAAGGUGGUGAACUUAAUACGUUCAUCAAUUGACGUUACUCGCAGAAGAAGCACCGGCUAACUCCGUGCCAGCGGCCGCGGUAAUACGGAGGGUGCAAGCGUUAAUCGGAAUUACUGGGCGUAAAGCGCACGCAGGCGGUUUGUUAAGUCAGAUGUGAAAUCCCCGGGCUCAACCUGGGAACUGCAUUUGAAACUGGCAAGCUAGAGUCUCGUAGAGGGGGGUAGAAUUCCAGGUGUAGCGGUGAAAUGCGUAGAGAUCUGGAGGAAUACC